AGGGCAAGUCUGGUGCCAGCAGCCGCGGUAAUUCCAGCUCCAAUAGCGUAUAUUAAAGUUGUUGCAGUUAAAAAGCUCGUAGUUGAAUUUCGGGGUUCUACCGUUGGUCGGGCUUUGUCUGUACUGGCGUGUAGAAUUUCUGCCUUCUGGGGAACCAUUAUGUUAUUAAUUUAGCGUAGUGGGAAACCAGGACCUUUACCUUGAAAAAAUUAGAGUGUUCAAAGCAGGCUUAUGUCUGAAUACAUUAGCAUGGAAUAAUAGAAUAGGACGGUGGUCCUGUUUUGUUGGUUUCUGAAUCACCGUAAUGAUUAAUAGGGAUAGUUGGGGGCAUUAGUAUUCAAUUGUCAGAGGUGAAAUUCUUGGAUUUAUUGAAGACUAACUUCUGCGAAAGCAUUUGCCAAGGAUGUUUUCAUUAAUCAAGAACGAAAGUUAGGGGAUCGAAGACGAUCAGAUACCGUCGUAGUCUUAACCAUAAACUAUGCCGACUAGGGAUCGGACGAUGUUAAUUUUUCUUGACUCGUUCGGCGCCUUACGGGAA
rnacentral:rRNA from 1 species